CCGUGCUAGAUGGGGAGGUAGCGGUGCCCUGUAACCUGCAAUCCGCUCUAGCAGGAUUGAAUUCCCAUGCUUAGGCUUUAUGCCUGUGAGGACUGGCCUGCACAAGUGGUGUAGAUCAUUGGGUCCUGCGCAACGGAACCUCAUAAACCCCGCCAGGUCCGGAAGGAAGCAACGGUAAGUGAGCCCUUUCGUGUGCCGCGGGGCAACCUGAUGGGAGCUAACUAUGCAGAUACCGCUCGGAGGCAUGAGUCGAAGCUGGGUGCACGG
rnacentral:SRP_RNA from 1 species